rnacentral:rRNA from 1 species
UGGGGAAUCUUCCGCAAUGGACGAAAGUCUGACGGAGCAACGCCGCGUGAGUGAUGACGGCCUUCGGGUUGUAAAGCUCUGUUAAUCGGGACGAAUGGUUCUUGUGCGAAUAGUGCGAGGAUUUGACGGUACCGGAAUAGAAAGCCACGGCUAACUACGUGCCAGCAGCCGCGGUAAUACGUAGGUGGCAAGCGUUGUCCGGAAUUAUUGGGCGUAAAGCGCGCGCAGGCGGAUUGGUCAGUCUGUCUUAAAAGUUCGGGGCUUAACCCCGUGAUGGGAUGGAAACUGCCAAUCUAGAGUAUCGGAGAGGAAAGUGGAAUUCCUAGUGUAGCGGUGAAAUGCGUAGAUAUUAGGAAGAACACCAGUGGCGAAGGCGACUUUCUGGACGAAAACUGACGCUGAGGCGCGAAAGCCAGGGGAGCGAACGGGAUUAGAUACCCCGGUAGUCCUGGCCGUAAACGAUGGGUACUAGGUGUAGGAGGUAUCGACCCCUUCUGUGCCGGAGUUAACGCAAUAAGUACCCCGCCUGGGGAGUACGACCGCAAGGUUG